rnacentral:rRNA from 1 species
GUUACAAUGCCCUAGUCUAUUCAACUGUAUCUUCUAUGAAACAAGAAAGCUCUCUACUUAUUGCUUCAGGCCUUUUAUUUGUGGAUGAAGUUUACCUUGAAAAAGCAUUGGUGUUCAUAUCAAGCCGUCUUGGCUUAGAUUCUGUUGCUCA